rnacentral:piRNA from 1 species
UCCCCAUUUUUCUCUCAUGAAGUCUCA